rnacentral:lncRNA from 1 species
UGGACUACAAAAAAAAAGGGUCGAGCCACCUUUACAACCUAAAAAUCUAGAGACCUAAAAAGCUAAGGAGACAAAAACAAUAAAAAAGAGAGCUCAAGUUCAUCUCUUUAAAGAAGAGAGCAACGGCAAAACACCAAAAGGACCUCCCCUCCCCCAAACUUUUCUUUCUUCACCAUUACAAAGAGCAGCGGCAGAACACCAAAAGGAUUCCCCCUCCUCCGAACUUUUCUUUCUUCACCGUUACAGAGAGCAGUGGCAGAACACCAAAAGAUUCCCACCCCCCNN